UACAGAGACUGCAAGCGUUAUUCGGAUUCACUGGGCGUAAAGGGUGCGCAGGUGCCAGGUGUGUGAGGCGUGAAAGCCCGGGGCUUAACCCCGGAAUUGCACCUCAAACUACUUGGCUAGAGCAUUGGAGAGGGGAGCAGAAUUCAUGGUGUAGCAGUGAAAUGCGUAGAUAUCAUGAGGAAUACCAGAGGCGAAGGCGGCUCCCUGGACAAUUGCUGACACUCAGGCACGAAAGCGUGGGGAGCAAAAGGG
rnacentral:rRNA from 1 species